rnacentral:rRNA from 1 species
GAUGAACGCUAGCUACAGGCUUAACACAUGCAAGUCGAGGGGAAACGACAUCGAAAGCUUGCUUUUGAUGGGCGUCGACCGGCGCACGGGUGAGUAACGCGUAUCCAACCUGCCCACCACUUGGGGAUAACCUUGCGAAAGUAAGACUAAUACCCAAUGAUAUCUCUAGAAGGCAUCAGAAAGAGAUUAAAGAUUUAUCGGUGAUGGAUGGGGAUGCGUCUGAUUAGCUUGUUGGCGGGGUAACAGCCCACCAAGGCUACGAUCAGUAGGGGUUCUGAGAGGAAGGUCCCCCACAUUGGAACUGAGACCCGGUCCAAACUCCUACGGGAGGCAGCAGUGAGGAAUAUUGGUCAAUGGACGAGAGUCCGAGCCAGCCAAGUAGCGUGCAGGAUGACGGCCCUAUGGGUUGUAAACUGCUUUUAUAAGGGAAUAAAGUGAGUCUCGUGAGACUUUUUGCAUGUACCUUAUGGAUAAGGACCGGCUAAUUCCGUGCCAGCAGCCGCCGUAA